UACGUAGGGGGCGAGCGUUGUCCGGAUUCAUUGGGCGUAAAGCGCUUUAAGGCGGUUCGCUAAGUCGCGUGUGAAACCUCCAGGCUCAACCUGGAGACGCCACGCGAUACUGGCGUGACUAGAUGUUCGGUAGGGGAGGUCUGGAAUUCCUGGUGUAGCGGUGAAAUGCGCAGAUAUCAGGAGGAACACCGGUGGCGAAGGCGGGACUCUGGGCCGAUACUGACGCUGAGGAGCGAAAGCGUGGGGAGCGAACAGG
rnacentral:rRNA from 1 species